rnacentral:rRNA from 1 species
UACGGAGGGUGCAAGCGUUGCUCGGGAUUAUUGGGCGUAAAGGGUAUGUAGGUGGUCUCCUUGGUCUGGGGUGAAAGCCUUGAGCUUAACUCAAGAAGUGCCCCAGAAACGGUGAGACUAGAGUCCUGGAGAGGGUCGUGGAAUUCCCGGUGUAGCGGUGAAAUGCGUAGAGAUCGGGAGGAACACCAGAGGCGAAGGCGGCGACCUGGACAGGUACUGACACUCAAAUACGAAAGCGUGGGGAGCAAACAGG